CAGGGUGUGUGAAUUCAGAGAUGAAAAAUUCAGGGAUGUGAAUCCAGGGAUGUGAAUUUAAGAAGGUGAAUCCAGGGAUGUGAAUUUAAGAAUGUGAAUUCAGGGAUGUGAAUUUAAGAAGGUGAAUUCAGGGAUGUGAAUUUAAGAAGGUGAAUUCAGGGAUGUGAAUUUAAGAAUGUGAAUUCAGGGAUGUGAAUUUAAGAAGGUGAAUUCAGGGAUGUGAAUUUAAGAAGGUGAAUUCAGGGAUGUAAGCUCCCAGGCCAGAAGCUUUGAGUGCUUUUGUAGGGGGUCACUCCUGCUUUUCCCACAAAAACCCCUCCUGGCCAGCAAACCUCUCCUGGCCUUUGGGGCUGGUGUAACCCUGUUGGGAUUCUUUCAGACUGAGGAGUUGGGCUGGAUUCCUGUGGGUCUCUUCCAGCUCAGGAUAUCCUGGGAUUCUCUGGAACUGUUUAUUCUCCACUUAGAGCUGGGCUUGUCCAGUAGCUGGAGGAGGUUUGGCAGCUGGUGGGAGCUCAGGGCAGAUUCAGAAUGGUCAAGUUUUCCACUGAUGCAGAAAUUUUCUGUUUGAAGAAGCACCUCAGUGUCCUUGUGGACAAAUAUUGGAAAUGAAACAUCAGAAACGCAGGAAAUUUAGAGGGCAGGGAUGGAUGGGACCUUGGGAAUUAGGAAUUGUUCCCUGGCAGGGUGGGAAAGGUGCCCAGAGCAGCUGGGGCUGCCCCUGGGUCCCUGGCAGUGCCCAAGGCCAGGCUGGACACUGGGACAGUGAAGGUUGGGCAGGGAUGUCCCCAAGAAGGGAGGUGGCUCUGGGAUCUCCCAGCUGGGCAGGGAUGUCCCCAAGGAGGGAGGUGGCUCUGGGAUUUCCCAUCAGAGCAGGGAUGUCCCCAAGGAGGGAGGUGGCUCUGGGAUCUCCCAUUUGGACAGGGAUGUCCCCAAGGAGGGAGGUGACUCUGGGAUCUCCCAGCUGGGCAGGGAUGUCCCCAAGGAGGGAGGUGGCUCUGGGAUCUCCCAUCAGAGCAGGGAUGUCCCCAAGGAGGGAGGUGUCUCUGGGAUCUCCCAUCAGAGCAGGGAUGUCCCCAAGGAGGGAGGUGGCUCUGGGAUCUUCCCAGCUGGGCAGGGAUGUCCCCAAGGAGGGAGGUGGCUCUGGGAUCUCCCAGCUGGGCAGGGAUGUCCCCAAGGAGGGAGGUGGCUCUGGGAUCUCCCAGCUGAGCAGGGAUGUCCCCAAGGAGGGAGGUGGCUCUGGGAUCUCCCAUUUGGACAGGGAUGUCCCCAAGGAGGGAGGUGGCUCUGAGAUUUCCCGGCUGAGCAGGGAUGUCCCCAAGGAGGGAGGUGGCUCUGGGAUGUUCUUCCCCUGCUGCUGCUCCAGCCCCUUCCCAGCCUGUGCCAGCUCAGUGUGAAAUGUGCCCUUCAUUGUCACCUGCCUUCUGGUGGCACAGGAUUGUCCAUUCCUCCCUGACCUCCUUUCUGCCUAAAUCCUGGCCAGCAUUUGGUUAAUGGGAUGAGUGGAGCAGAUCCUGCAAUCUGGGUCAAAUCCUUCAGCCCCCCGGGGCUCCUGCUGUGUUUUCUGGGGGUGACUGAGCAGGAAUUUCACGUCCCCAGGGGAUGUUAGAGCUGACCCACUUCUGUGCCAGGCUGCCAUUGCAGGGGUGAUGCCCUCUGGCAGGAAAUGGGCAGCUUCUGCUGGAAUUCCCUGCUGGGAAGGGGUGGCUGGAUGUGGGGCUGAGGUGGAACCAGAGGAUCAGGUUUUGCUGCCUGGCUCUGCAGAGUUUGUCUGAGCCAGGUGGGAGCUGCUCAGCUGCUGUGCAUUGGUGGAUUUAGGAAGUUUUGGUUCUGUUUCCAGGAAGGAACCCGAGUGGAAGUGCUGGUUGUGUUUAUAACAUCAAUUAAAAAUCCCUCUUUGCUUAAGGGAAUAACCAAUAGGGGAAAUUCCAAAGUGCAUUUUUGCGGAAGCAUUCCUGGGCUGAGGUGCUCCUUCACAUCCAGGAGGAUCUCUGAAUUAAACCUUGAUGGGCUGAUAAAAACACCCCCAGCCAACCCCAGCCACUUCAAACACAGGUUUUAAUUGUGGCCAUUGCCAUGACUCACUGUCAGGUUUAUGUGGGCAGCACUUGCAUCACUCAGAGCUUUCCUAAAUUACACAGGAGCGUGGCCAGCUCUUCCUGCUGCCAGGGGCAGAGCCCUGAGCUGCCCUUCAGCCCAGCCAGGGGGAUGGAAAUCCCACACUGAGGGAGGGUUUCAGCUCUCUGGGACAGUGAAGGUGGCCCUGCCGUGGCAGGAGUGGCACUGGAUGGGCUGUAGGGUCCCUUCCCACCCAAACCAUGCCAGGGUUAAUGGUUUUUGUUGACAGUGAGUUUGGCUCAGUUGGCCAGAGCUGAGUUUCCUCUCAGACUCUGUCCUGUGGCACAGUAGGAUUUUAUUUCUUUACACACAGUGACUAUAAAUGACUCAGGUGAAAGAUCUGAUAUGGGAUUAAAAGGGCAGAGGAGAGGGGAGAAGCUCCUUAAGGUGUAUCAGUUCUUUCAAGGUGUAUUUGUUUUGUUGAGAGUCCCUUUAAUCCUCAUUCCUGGUUCUUCUGGACCAGCCUGUCUGGCAGCAGGAGCUGCAGCUGGAGCUGUGAGCUGCUUUGUUUAUCUCAGCAGGCUGAGAGCUGGUGUGAAACAUUUCCUGGAGAGCACAGAGAGGCUGUGCCCAGGGCAGUGCCCCUGAGCUGGGGCUGGCACCUCUGUCCCAGGGCUGGCCUUGCCCAGCACAAGGAGCUUUGAUCCUGGCCUGGCAGGGCCCCAGCGAGCCAGGCCAGCAGCUGGGGUAGCCACAGAGCCAUGGAGGGUGGGAAAGGCCUCCAGGAUCAGGGAGUGCAGCCUAGUGCUGGGCUUUGUGCCUUGUGCUCUGAGAUUGGUGUGCUUUGGGGGUUUGGGAGCCAUGUCUGUGCUUUGGG